GACGAACGCUGGCGGCAGGCCUAACACAUGCAAGUCGAGCGGACCUUUCGGGGUCAGCGGCGGACGGGUGAGUAACGCGUGGGAAUAUGCCCUUCUCUACGGAAUAGUCCUGGGAAACUGGGGGUAAUGCCGUAUACGCCCUUUGGGGGAAAGAUUUAUCGGGGAAGGAUUAGCCCGCGUUGGAUUAGGUAGUUGGUGGGGUAAUGGCCUACCAAGCCGACGAUCCAUAGCUGGUUUGAGAGGAUGAUCAGCCACACUGGGACUGAGACACGGCCCAGACUCCUACGGGAGGCAGCAGUGGGGAAUCUUAGACAAUGGGGGCAACCCUGAUCUAGCCAUGCCGCGUGAGUGAUGAAGGCCUUAGGGUUGUAAAGCUCUUUCAGCUGGGAAGAUAAUGACGGUACCAGCAGAAGAAGCCCCGGCUAACUCCGUG
rnacentral:rRNA from 1 species